ACUGGCAGCAGCCUGAUGCCUCAGAAGAAGAACCCCGAUAGUCUGGAACUGAUCCGCAGCAAAGCUGGUCGCGUGUUCGGACGGUUGGCUGCUAUUCUCAUGGUUCUCAAAGGACUUCCAAGCACCUACAACAAGGAUCUACAGGAGGACAAGGAGGCCGUCUUUGAUGUUGUGGACACCCUGAAUGCUGUGCUCCAGGUUGCCACUGGAGUGAUUUCUACCCUCCAG